CAGUUUCGGAUAGCGGGGUCGGGUACAAAGCACUAGGGGGUGUUGGGGUGAUUGGAUUAAUAUAAUUUGGAUUAGAUCAGUUGGGGGUUAGUAGGGUUCAGAGGUCGUCAGGUCGAGGGAGGUAUCGCGUCGUCGUGAGACGCAGACUGUUUAGAGUUAGCAGCGGGGGCGGAGAGGGACCUGUAGGUGGAGUAUGGCCGCUAUCCGCGGGUUGGGGCCGUGGGCCCAAGCUGCUGGCCGGGGCCCUGACCGGAGCCACUGGUUGUGGCCGCUGUCCGGAACCGCUGCUCGUAACCGCUGUCCGUACACCCGUGUAUGGGUUCCUCAGUUGGAGGUUACCUUCCCCCGUUCCCGUUGUCACCCCCGUUGUUACCCUUCCCGUCCGGGCCCUGUCAAUAGUAGGGUGCCUCCUCAAACGGACCGCUCGUUGUCCCACAGUAGUCACCUUUGUGAGGGUUUUUGUCACAACGGGGAUGUCUACAGAGUCCACACCGACCUCGAAGGUACCAGAGUUCAAGUUGAGAUGUUCUCCCAUGGUCAUGUUGUCACCUCGUUGGUUUUGAUUGGCCAAGAUCUUCCUUCGCAUGUAGUCUACAUACCCUUUUAAAAUUCUGUCUUGAUUAGUUACCCUUUACCGUCCGUUAUACGUUGACCACAGUAUUCGGUAUACGACCUCUUAGUUGGAGACUAAACACCAGCCGACCGGUAGUUUUCUCCCCGAUAUACCGACAUUGAUGUGUAAUAUAACUACGAAGAACCUUUGAUUUCUCGAUCGAUUACUCCAAAUAAAUACAAGGUACAGGUGUGUUACGACUUCAAUAUACACUUCUUGAUGUACGUACAGAACAAUUCACCGUGGAACUCUUCUUCUAUAGGUGCCACCGGAACCUGUUAACACGCAGUUUACUGUUCCGAUAGCUUUAAUACGGUUUAUUCAACCUGUGGAGAAGAGAAUACUACCUGCCUAGAAACAACGUAUACGUAACACGACGAGUAUAUAAUUUAGUCUAACAUUUUCUACCUAACCUACAGUACCUCUUUCCUUGAUUCUCCCAUGUUCUAUCACAACGGAAAAACAGUCGGUGUGGAUUUUCUGUACUCUUCAAACUUUUCUACCGUGCGGAAAAGUUGUUACUUAUGUUCACAUCUAACCGAGAACUAACAUUUUGAUCCACCUUAAGAUGGAUGUAUUACAAUUUUCCACGUAACGUUAUGUUUCUACAAGAACUUUCUGAAAUAUAUGCACUUUUCUUAAAAUGAACAGGUUGGCUUCUUCUAACCCAGAAACGAUACCUCCAAACACUAUCCGACUUUCACAAGAAACUACAGUUUCUCAACAACAGCCCGUGAGGUAUACAAUGUCGAUCAGAAAAGAAAGGCGUUUAUACACCGUAAGCCAACCGUUAAGCAUUUACCCUUUGAUCAUUUGUAUCACAGUAUUUUCGAUACAGAUUCCUUUACUUUCUGUUCAAGCUCUUCAUAACCUGUCUACAGGUAGCAGAAUACCGAUAACGGUGGUAACAACUAGGUGUAACAUUCUACGUAUACAACUUCCGAAGUAAACCCAGUAGCAUACCUUGACUUGUAUACGCAGGUAUCUUCAAGUAUUUUGUUUCUUCAAUUACGAUCUAAACGACCGACUUAUAGCUCUACAUAGAGUCACACAACUUUGUAGAUAACAACCUUUGUGGGGUUGACAAGGAUUACCACCACACCUACUUUAAAACCCGCACAAACUCGUUAUGAACAGAAGUGUUGGACAGCGAGGAAGAGGUCAAGCGUGACUUAACCUGUACAUGAACCUACUCGGGGAAUAAGUAUCUUGUUGUCUAAAACUGUAAUAAUUAACCACCUUUCAACCUCCACGGUUCAUGGGAUGAAACGUCUUCUAACGAGUACUAUAUAAUGGGUAGGGAUAAUGUAGAUACCGUAGUCUCAGUCAGAAAUUAUGAUCACCCUCCAAUGAAUCACAUGUAGCGUUAGCCGAAUGUGGUUCGUACCAACUUCGAGAAUACACAUACGUUCGAACCAGUGCUCGCCUGUACAAUCCACCAUAGUUGAAGCGAGAUGUUCGUCAAGUUUUACAAGAACUACUACUUCUUCUUCACUACCUACUUUUACUCAGGUAGUAAUGACUUCUGAUUAAAGCUCGGUUCACACGAGUAAACCUGUACACCGGGUUAAUGAUCACGUGCAUGACAACCUUCACGUAAACUUAAAACUUUAUUCAAUGCAUGAAAUAAAUACGUUGAAGCCAACACUACAUUAUUCUAGAAUGUUGAAACCAACACUACAUUAUUCUAAAUUCUGUUCUUAAGAUGAUACUCUGAUAAACUCAACAGUUGAACAGUAACACACCA
rnacentral:rRNA from 1 species